UGUUUGUAGAUUGGAGCUAUUGGUGACAGACUACAAGGGUUGGUGAUGAAUGUAGAGACUUUGCAAACUCUUGUUAAGUGUUUCAAGAACUAAAGAGAAAGAGCUGCUGCACUCAAGUCACUUCAACAUAAACUUGAGAAAUACAAGACAGAGUUGAACAACUCAUAAGAAUACUCGAGUAUACUUAUAACUUGUUCAUGUUGCACAGAACUAAUUACUUAUAAAUUGAGAUUAUAUUUGUACCAAUCUGAUGAAAUAUAUUUUGAUUAAGUUUGUAAUU